CAGCAGCCGCGGUAAUACCGGCGGCUCGAGUGGUGGCCACGAUUACUGGGCUUAAAGCGUUCGUAGCUGGGUUGUUAAGUCUCUUGGGAAAUCUACCGGCUUAACCGAUAGGCGUCCAAGGGAUACUGGCAAUCUAGGGACCGGGAGAGGUGAGGGGUACUUCAGGGGUAGGAGUGAAAUCCUGUAAUCCUUGGGGGACCACCUGUGGCGUAGGCGCCUCACCAGAACGGCUCCGACAGUGAGGGACGAAAGCUGGGGGAGCAAACCGGAUUAGAUACCCGGGUAGUCCCAGCCGUAAACGAUGCGCGUUAGGUGUAUCGAUGACCACGAGUCAUCGAGGUGCCGAAGGGAAACCGUGAAACGCGCCGCCUGGGAAGUACGGUCGCAAGGCUGAAACUUAAAGGAAUUGGCGGGGGAGCACCACAACAGGUGGAGCCUGCGGUUUAAUCGGACUCAACGCCGGAAAUCUCACCGGAUAAGACAGCUGAAUGAUAGCCGGGCUGAAGACUCUGCUUGACUAGCUGAGAGGAGGUGCAUGGCC
rnacentral:rRNA from 1 species